CCCAACUAUCCCUAUUAAUCAUUACGGUGAUCCUAGAAACCAACGAAAUAGAAUCAGUCCGUCCUAUUUCAUUAUUCCAUGCUAAUGUAUUCAGACGAUAGUCUGCUUUAAACACUCUAAUUUUUUCAAAGUAACAGUCCUGAUUUCCCAUCACACCAAAUAAAUGACAUGAAAGUUCCUCAGAAGGUAGAGAUCCAUCUCACCAGUACAGACAAUUAAGCCUGACCAAUGGGUAGACCCCGAAGUUCAACUACGAGCUUUUUAACUGCAACAACUUUAAUAUACGCUAUUGGAAUAAUAGAAUAGGACAUCGGUUCUAUUUUGUUGGUUUCUAGGACCGCUGUAAUGAUUAAUAGGGAUAGUUGGGUUAGCCCAUAGU
rnacentral:misc_RNA from 1 species